rnacentral:rRNA from 1 species
GACGAACGCUGGCGGCGUGCCUAAUACAUGCAAGUCGAACGCAGUGGGGACGGGUGAGUAACACGUGGGUAACCUCCCAUCAGAGGGGAUAACACUUGGAAACAGGUGCUAAACCGAUACUGAUGGAUGGACCCGCGGUGCAUUAGCUAGUUGGUGAGGUAACGGCUCACCAAGGCCACGCUGCAUAGCACGCCUGAUGGGGUGAGUGGCGACAAUGGGACCUGGAACCGGCCCAUACUCCUAAGGGAGGCAACAGUAGGGAAUCUUCGGCAAUUGACGAAAGUCUGACCGAGCAACGGCGCGUGAGUGAAGAAAGUUUUCGGAUCGUAAAACUCUGUUGUUAGAGAAGCGGUAUCUAACCAGAAAGCCAAGGCUUACUACGUGCCAGCCGGCGCGGUAAUAA